GAGGGUAAACUAAGCAUAUC
rnacentral:miRNA from 1 species